GUGUAUGGAAAAAUAUUGACGUUUCCGGUACCAGUGUAACUUAACGGGGAAUAGAAACGAAAUGAAACAGAAAAUGUCAGACAUGCAUAUUCAUUUCAAGGGGAUGUACAUUGCAACAAGAUGUUUAAUACUCACGAUGGCUUCGAUAAUAAUAUUGCUGAUUUACCUUCAGUUAGAUUUAACGUUGUCGUGGCAUUUGCAGAAAGACUCGGUCAAUACAACCUCAAACUUAUUCAAAAGCAGCUGUGAUGGAACUUUAUUUCCAGUUCAAGUGAACACAGAGAGCAAUUGGGGACCAGUCGACCAAAUCAAAACGAUUUUUGUAAUUUCUGCGUAUUAUGUUGGAGAACGAGAACGAAUUUUUGUCAUUGGUUCCAAGCCAUUCCAAGAAGUCACGGUAAUUUGUCAACUUUGGUUUACUAGUUUAGACAAGAAAUCCAGAUCAAUUCGGCAAACAAAUGCCAAAGUAGUGGCGCCGAGUGGUGCGACUGGAUACAAUUACACAUCUACAAUUUUUGAAUGUAAUUUGGAAUCAGCCGAAUAGCCUACGCACGUUUCUCUCGUGGUAAAUUCAUGUGAAAAUCCUUUAAAUCUUGUAAAAGUACGGGAAGCAUCGAAACCUGCAAAAUAUCAGCGUCGUUUUACAGUGUGCUUAUCUCCAAUGUUCCAAUUUGAUGAAGUGUACCGGCUUGUUGAAUGGAUUGAAUUCAACAGAAUACUUGGCGCUGAUAAAUUUCUGUUGUACAACUACUCAACCGGUGUCAACGUAAAAAAAGUGAUCGACUAUUACGUGAAUUCAGGAACAGUUGAAGUCAUUCAAUGGGAUAUACCUUUUCCGCCUGCAAACAACAUAGAAUACUUUGCACAAAAAGCUGCUUUAAACGACUGCAUUUUCAGAAAUAAAAAUGUUUCAGAAUUUGUCAUCAAUAUUGAUAAGGAUGAAUAUGUCAUUCCACAUUCAGACGACCUAAUAAACUGGUCUCAGAUGAUCAAACUAUUUGAUAAAAACUAUGCAGGGUAUCUAAUAAGGCAUACCUUCUUCAGAACAGACUGGAAAAUAAGAAAUCAGAACUUUGCAGAAAGACAAUAUGCAGAGGCUCACGAUUUAGUUACAUUGACACAUUUUGAGCAUGAGAAAAAGAUAUGACCAGCUUGCCACCGGUCAAAGUAUUUUGCUCGAACGGCUUAUGUUGAGUUUGGAAAUAUCCAUGAGAUACCACGUGGAAGAAUUUUCACUGUUCCUACGAAUAUUGCAUUACUGCAUCACUAUCGAAAAAAUGGGGAUCCAAAGCCAGAUGACAAGGUCAAGGACUUUACUGUUCUGUUGAAAUAUGGACAUACUCUCACGCAAAAUGUGCUAAAAAUAUGGAAAGUACUUUCAGUUAGCAAUACUAUUCAUCGUAACUACUCAUUAAUGAACUUAAAUUCAGCCGACUCUGGUUUAAUGAAUUAAAACUUUCUAAAUGUUCACGCAUACAGAAGUAUAACUGUUUAAAACGAAUCAUUAUUGAUACCAAAAAAAAAUAGUUCCUUAUCCUUUGAAAUGUGAUUAACGUGAUUUGUUCGUCAAGUAUAUUGUGACAAGGAUGGGCGUACCGGCGACAAUAACUAUCAGAACAAAUCAACACUCUUUACAAUAUUUACAAGUUUAUUUACAUAAAAUGAUUAUUAACAAGGAAUAAAUGAUAAAUAGAAAAAAAACUGAUUAUAAGAAAGAAAAAAGAAAAUCAGAGUUCAGUAUCUUUAGAUACAAAGUUUUAACACUGACAGUUCCGUUGUAACGUAACGUGGCACAGUUGUUUCAGUUAAUUUCGAACUUUAAGUAGCACAGAAAUAUAACAUAUCUUCCAGUAAAGUCCCUUUAAACUGUGAAUACGUUGACUCCGUUUGGACUCCCUAUGAUAAUAGGUGAUUGCAUCCCUGAAAAAUCAUCGCCUUUGCGGUUUACGGCACAACCAUGGGACGAAAGCUCUGCGCUGGGAAAAUCACAUCCAGGCAAGUGUAGACAAGUGAACUUCGGGCAUUGUACUUCCGGGUUGCGACAUCAUCACCAGGAGGUCAAGUCGGAGCCGUCGUUCAUCUAGAUAUAGAAUGACUCUAGGUUGCUAAAUUGUAGGAGCAACCUACAAUUCACACAUUGUAAGCACAAUGAAUGAUCCCUAUGAGUCGAGCGGAAUAGUGUCGAGAUAGACAGGCAAAUACGAUCAAGAUACGUUCAAGAAUACAAAAAACUUGUAGACAAGUGUCGAUAAUUGUAGUAAACAAUAAUGGUACU
rnacentral:lncRNA from 1 species